rnacentral:tRNA from 1 species
GCCCGCUUAGCUCAGUUGGUAGAGCAACUGACUCUUAAUCAGUAGGUCCUGCGUUCGAGUCGCAGAGCGGGUACCA